rnacentral:snRNA from 1 species
GUGUUUGCUUCGGGAGCACAUAUACUAAAAGUCGGAACAAUACAGAGAAAAUUACCAUGAACCCUGAGUAAAAAUGAUAUGCAAAUUCAUGAAACGUUGCAUAUUUUU